rnacentral:rRNA from 1 species
AUUGAACGCUGGCGGCAGGCCUAAUACAUGCAAGUCGAACGAGUGGCGGACGGGUGAGUAGGGUAUGGGAAACUGCCUGAUGGAGGGGGCUAACUACUGGAAAAGGUAGCUAAUACCGCUUACCAUCGGUUGGGGCCAGAUGGCUUUAGCUAGGGGGUGGGGUAAAGGAUCACAUAGGCGACGAGGCCUAGCUGGUCUGAGAGGGUGACCGGACACACGGGGACUGAGACACGGUCCAGACUCCUACGGGAGGCAGCAGUGGGGAAUAUUUGGCAAUGGACGCAAGCCUGACGGAGCCAUGCCGCGUGAGUGAAGAAGGCUUUCGGAUUGUAAAGCACUUUCGGUGGAGAAGCGGUACCCACUCAGAAAGCACCGGCUAACUCCGUGCCAGCAGCCGCGGUAAUAC